UUUUUGAACAUCUACCACUCAAGAUUCUACCACACAGAAUUUUUUAAGUCCGAUCACUGUUCUGGACGCAUUGAAAACAACGAGCUUCCAAUUUGUUAUCUUCAUUAUCUAAACGCUUUCUCGAAGGCGACAUAUUUUUUUUUUUUUUUGAAGGCCACUGCGACAUCAUGAAUUUGUAUGAGUUUGACAUAAAAGAUCUAAUCUGGCUACAACCAAAGUCGUCGCCUAACAUUGUCGCCGCCAAAAUAAUCCCUGCAGUGAAAAGCCAAACCAGUCAGUAAAAAUACCAGUUCAUUAACUAGAUUGUGCUACAGCGAUGGCCUAUCAGUUCGACAAUUUCGAAGAACUAAAGCGUUCAGCGGUAUCUGCCUUUGAAUUGCCAAAACCGAACAUAACACACAAUUAAUUGCUUUUCUUACAAAUGUCGGCUGUGGCGUCGCGUGAAGACUGACGGGUCUGGUGCUGAGAUCGAAGGUUCGAAUCCGCUUGGAGGUGGUUACGAUUUUUAUUUUUAAAUUAAUUCAGUAAAAACAUGCUUAUGGGAAGAAAUACUUGUGGCAUA